AAUUUUGUACCAGAAACUGAAAAAUCAAAGACGAUUGUGGGCUUGUGGGACAGAUAUGAGAUGUGGGGUGUGGGGCGGUUUCAUCGCUGCUCAUUCGAUCUCUAGAAUUUUAUUUUUCUCCUCUCGUCUUGUUCCCCGACGAUGCUCCCGGAAACCGCACUCUCGUCGGUGAGGAACGGGGUAACCCCGAUGCUGAUCUGAUCCCUCCCUUCCCUUCGACACCUCCCUUGCACAGCUAUCGGCGACGACCUCAAGGAAGGAGUUAGAUGGAGCUGGCGCACGUGUCAGAUCUGAAAAAGAAGGUCAGAUGCGCUCCGUUUGGGGUGGAGCGACUGCUGCCUCCAUUUUGUGUCAGUCCUCUUGAUUCACCAGAUCGAUGCUUUCUCGAUAGCACCGGCAGCAGCUCCGUGCAUCCUUGCAGCCGCCGGCGGCCGCUCCACGCAUCGUCAUCUUGUAGAUGCGGAGCGGCAGCACCGUUGAUGGAGCGAUCGGUGUUGGCGCUGCAGGAGAGCCACGAUCGGCAUCCACGCCAACCCCUUCGGAUGAGCAGCAAUUCCAACAAUUAAAUCUUUGGCAGGUACUUAUUUAGCUUGAAGGUGCGCCCAUCUGGCAUCGUUGCUGCUGCUGCUGGUCUAAAUCACGGCGCCAGUGCCAAUGUGAAAUGUUUGUGUUCACCAACAGCUUAGCUGAUUUACAACCUGUAAGAUCCCGAAGUGAAGGAGCUGCGUAAUGGGGAGGCAGAAGCAUAGGGAUUCCGGAUGUCAAUGUGCACGCAGGAGUUAGAUGAUCUGUAAUGUGAUCAAAUAGAAUGAAGUCAUAAGUUCUCACUUUUUUCUUUGCAUAUCCUGAGAUAAUGGAUUAUUGUGUUUCCUGUCGCGCGCUUCUUAUUCUUCGUUUGCUAGUAAUGUCUAGUGUACAUUUCUUGUCACGUUGACUGUGUUUUUACUGUCAAAGUGAGAAAAAAAUUCUGCUUGUAAGGUUUUUCCGGUCUCA